rnacentral:rRNA from 1 species
GGCGGACGGGUGAGUAAUACUUAGGAAUCUGCCCAGUAGUGGGGGACAACUCGGGGAAACUCGAGCUAAUACCGCAUACGCCCUACGGGGGAAAGCGGGGGAUCUUCGGACCUCGCGCUAUUGGAUGAGCCUAAGUCGGAUUAGCUUGUUGGUGGGGUAAAGGCCUACCAAGGCGACGAUCCGUAGCUGGUCUGAGAGGACGAUCAGCCACACUGGGACUGAGACACGGCCCAGACUCCUACGGGAGGCAGCAGUGGGGAAUAUUGGACAAUGGGCGCAAGCCUGAUCCAGCAAUGCCGCGUGUGUGAAGAAGGCCUGCGGGUUGUAAAGCACUUUCAGUAGAGAAGAAAAGCUUAGGGUUAAUAUCCCUGAGUCUUGACGUAACCUACAGAAGAAGCACCGGCUAACUCCGUGCCAGCAGCCGCGGUAAUACGGAGGGUGCGAGCGUUAAUCGGAAUUACUGGGCGUAAAGCGCGCGUAGGCGGCUAAGUAAGUCGGAUGUGAAAGCCCAGGGCUUAACCUUGGAAUUGCAUUCGAUACUGCUUGGCUAGAGUAUGGUAGAGGGAAGUGGAAUUUC